rnacentral:rRNA from 1 species
GAUGAACGCUGGCGGCGUGCCUAAUACAUGCAAGUCGAGCGAACAGACGAGGAGCUUGCUCCUCUGACGUUAGCGGCGGACGGGUGAGUAACACGUGGAUAACCUACCUAUAAGACUGGGAUAACUUCGGGAAACCGGAGCUAAUACCGGAUAAUAUAUUGAACCGCGUGGUUCAAUAGUGAAAGACGGUUUUGCUGUCACUUAUAGAUGGAUCCGCGCCGCAUUAGCUAGUUGGUAAGGUAACGGCUUACCAAGGCAACGAUGCGUAGCCGACAUGAGAGGGUGAUCGGCCACACUGGAACUGAGACACGGUCCAGACUCCUACGGGAGGCAGCAGUAGGGAAUCUUCCGCAAGGGGCGAAAGCCUGACGGAGCAACGCCGCGUGAGUGAUGAAGGUCUUCGGAUCGUAAAACUCUGUUAUUAGGGAAGAACAAAUGUGUAAGUAACUAGGCACGUCUUGACGGUACCUAAUCAGAAAGCCACGGCUAACUACGUG